GUUGUAGUCUGGAGAAGUGCUUUCCGCGCUGGACCGUGUAUAAGUCUCUUGGAACAGAGCGUCAUAGAGGGUGAGAAUCCCGUCUUUGACACGGACUACCAGUGCUUUGUGAUGCGCUCUCAAAGAGUCGAGUUGUUUGGGAAUGCAGCUCAAAAUGGGUGGUGAAUUCCAUCUAAAGCUAAAUAUUGGCGAGAGACCGAUAGCGAACAAGUACCGUGAGGGAAAGAUGAAAAGCACUUUGGAAAGAGAGUUAAACAGUACGUGAAAUUGCUGAAAGGGAAACGCUUGAAGUCAGUCGCGUUUGCCGGAACUCAGCCUUCCUUUUGGUUGGUGCACUUUCCGGUAGACGGGCCAGCAUCGAUUUCGACCGUCGGAUAAGGGCUGGGGAAAUGUGGCACCUUUCGGGGUGUGUUAUAGUCCUCAGUCGCAUACGUCGGUUGGGAUCGAGGAUCGCAGCGCGCCGCAAGGCAGGGGUUCGCCCACUUUCGCGCUUAGGAUGCUGGCAUAAUGGCUUUAAACGACCCGUCUUGAAACACGGACCAAGGAGUCUAACAAACCUGCGAGUGUUUGGGUGGAAAACCCGAGCGCGUAAUGAAAGUGAAAGUUGAGACCUCUGUCGUGGAGGGCAUCGACGCCCGGACCUGAAGUUCUCUGACGGUUCCGCGGUAGAGCAUGUUUGUUGGGACCCGAAAGAUGGUGAACUAUGCCUGAAUAGGGUGAAGCCAGAGGAAACUCUGGUG
rnacentral:rRNA from 1 species